UACGUAGGGAGCAAGCGUUGUCCGGAAUCAUUGGGCGUAAAGCGCGCGUAGGUGGCCUCAUAAGUCCGCUGUGAAAGUCAAAGGCUCAACCUUUGAAAGCCGGUGGAUACUGUGAGGCUAGAGUACGGAAGAGGCGAGUGGAAUUCCUGGUGUAGCGGUGGAAUGCGCAGAUAUCAGGAGGAACACCGGUGGCGAAGGCGGGUCUCUGGGCCGAUACUGACACUGAGAAGCGAAAGCGUGGGGAGCGAACAGG
rnacentral:rRNA from 1 species